UAUGUGUGCACAUUCUCUUUUACUUGUCUCAUCCUUGUGAAAAUGUUAAAUAAGUGUUUCUUCUCAAAAUUCGACAGUUAUCAUAGAAGGCAACACAAAGGUUUUGUUUGAAAUUUCGAGCCAAGUUUUCAACCAUAUUAUAACAUUUAUAUGUGUUCAGUCUUCGUCCCUAUUUCUGCAACACCUAUGAAGAAGCAAUAAGAAAGCAAACGAGAAAUAAAGAAAGGUAAGUAUUGCACUAUUUUUGCACUAUAUAUAUCUUUAUUGGGUACUGAUUUUUCAAAAUAUGUUCGCAAAAUAGUUUGUAGGAAUUGACAUCCCACUACUCAAUUCGUCCUUGUUUUUGUAAUGCGUACGCAUAUACCAUUUUCAUAUACGCGUAGAUGCUCCUAAUCGAUUCACCAUGUGCUUAGACCACCAGCGAAUAACUUAGUCAAUUGGUUUGCAUGGAUAAUACUAUAUAGAUGUGGAAGCAAAUGAUUCUCACUUACCUUCUUUCAGUGUCGACCACAAAAAAGAUUAAGAUCUCAAAACACUACAAAUGUGGAAUCAAAAUGUCCAAAUUUUGAGAAAUCGUUGUUGUAUUUUUUUUUUCUUUUUUUUAAUGUUUUCUAAAAACGUGUACU
rnacentral:lncRNA from 1 species